rnacentral:rRNA from 1 species
GAUCCUGGCUCAGGACGAACGCUGGCGGCGUGCUUAACACAUGCAAGUCGAACGAAAAGACGGAAAGAGCUUGCUCUUUUCAGAAUUGAGUGGCAAACGGGUGAGUAACACGUAAACAACCUGCCUUCAGGAUGGGGACAACAGACGGAAACGACUGCUAAUACCGAAUAAGUUCCAAGAGCCGCAUGGCCCGAUGGAAGAAAAGGUGGCCUCUACCUGUAAGCUAUCGCCUGAAGAGGGGUUUGCGU